ACUGCAGUCGAGCGGACAGAUGGGNACUUGCUCCCUGAUGUUAGCGGCGGACGGGUGAGUAACACGUGGGUAACCUGCCUGUAAGACUGGGAUAACUCCGGGAAACCGGGGCUAAUACCGGAUGCUUGAUUGAACCGCAUGGUUCAAUUAUAAAAGGUGGCUUUUAGCUACCACUUACAGAUGGACCCGCGGCGCAUUAGCUAGUUGGUGAGGUAACGGCUCACCAAGGCAACGAUGCGUAGCCGACCUGAGAGGGUGAUCGGCCACACUGGGACUGAGACACGGCCCAGACUCCUACGGGAGGCAGCAGUAGGGAAUCUUCCGCAAUGGACGAAAGUCUGACGGAGCAACGCCGCGUGAGUGAUGAAGGUUUUCGGAUCGUAAAACUCUGUUGUUAGGGAAGAACAAGUACCGUUCGAAUAGGGCGGUACCUUGACGGUACCUAACCAGAAAGCCACGGCUAACUACGUGCCAGCAGCCGCGGUAAUACGUAGGUGGCAAGCGUUGUCCGGAAUUAUUGGGCGUAAAGCGCGCGCAGGCGGUUUCUUAAGUCUGAUGUGAAAGCCCCCGGCUCAACCGGGGAGGGUCAUUGGAAACUGGGGAACUUGAGUGCAGAAGAGGAGAGUGGAAUUCCACGUGUAGCGGUGAAAUGCGUAGAGAUGUGGAGGAACACCAGUGGCGAAGGCGACUCUCUGGUCUGUAACUGACGCUGAGGCGCGAAAGCGUGGGGAGCGAACAGGAUUAGAUACCCUGGUAGUCCACGCCGUAAACGAUGAGUGCUAAGUGUUAGAGGGUUUCCGCCCUUUAGUGCUGCAGCAAACGCAUUAAGCACUCCGCCUGGGGAGUACGGUCGCAAGACUGAAACUCAAAGGAAUUGACGGGGGCCCGCACAAGCGGUGGAGCAUGUGGUUUAAUUCGAAGCAACGCGAAGAACCUUACCAGGUCUUGACAUCCUCUGACAACCCUAGAGAUAGGGCUUCCCCUUCGGGGGCAGAGUGACAGGUGGUGCAUGGUUGUCGUCAGCUCGUGUCGUGAGAUGUUGGGUUAAGUCCCGCAACGAGCGCAACCCUUGAUCUUAGUUGCCAGCAUUCAGUUGGGCACUCUAAGGUGACUGCCGGUGACAAACCGGAGGAAGGUGGGGAUGACGUCAAAUCAUCAUGCCCCUUAUGACCUGGGCUACACACGUGCUACAUUGGGCGGAAC
rnacentral:rRNA from 1 species